AAGUCGAACGGCAGCGGGGAGCUUGCUCCCGCCGGCGAGUGGCAAACGGGUGAGUAAUACAUCGGAACGUGCCCAGUAGCGGGGGAUAGCCCGGCGAAAGCCGGAUUAAUACCGCAUACGACCGUACGGGUGAAAGCGGGGGACCCGAAAAGGCCUCGCGCUAUUGGAGCGGCCGAUGGCUGAUUAGCUAGUUGUGGGUAAAGGCCUACCAAGGCUACGAUCAGUAGCUGGUCUGAGAGGACGACCAGCCACACUGGGACUGAGACACGGCCCAGACUCC
rnacentral:rRNA from 1 species